rnacentral:lncRNA from 1 species
GCACGUCAAAAUACUCUAGUAAGGGUUCCGGCCAAUUUUUCAAAACUUUGGUCAACUAAUGGUUAAUAGUCAACUUUAACAGAAUGUACUUGAGAAUUUUCCCUCCAGAUUCUGAAAUGGUUUGGUUUGUUGCAUAUUUUCUUCGGAUUUUCAGGGUAAAAUUCAAACGCUCCGUUCAGAGCCAUUUCACAAUCAAAUUUUGCCCAUAAUAUAUCAAAACAAAGUUUAGGACGAGAGGAAUAAGAUAAUACAUAUUUCAAGGCCAAAAGUUGGUCGAAGAUCAUCAGAAAAUGACCUAAAAGUGAUGGCUCGAGUUGGAGUUCUCCAUUUUCGUUGGUUUCGAAGUGAAUUUGAGCAUGCAAGCUCAAACCCAUGGCCUAGGGGUUGUGGGAAGUCGUCCUACACCUUCAAACUCAACCACAUCAACAAGGUUUCGUUGGGUUUAACUUGGAAAAACCUACAACUCGCUAGAAAACAUGGUGGGUUAGGAAAUCGUCUAUGCGUUCACCAAAACAUGCAUGCAUGCAUGAAACUUGUUAGAACUUGAAGAAGACCUUGAGAAAGAAGGUCGAAGCUUACCGAGAUGGAAGCGGUUUGAUUCGUUGGGUUCCGUCGAGUUACGUAAGGAAAAGUUCAUAUUUUUCCUAAGCUAGCCACAACCAUAAGGUUUUGGACGAGUUAUAAAGAUCGUUAGGAAGCUUUUGGGUGAGUUUGUGAAAUUUUUAGGAGUGGUGUGGUGGUGUGUUACCAAGAAGAAGAGAGUGAGGAGAGAGCAGCAGAAGGAGAAAUUUUUCACUGUGACUGGUACACGGGUGGUACACCAUGUGUCACUAUAUAAAUGAUGAGAUAUGUGUGUUAAAAACUUAAUAACUUAAAAAAUAAAAAUUUUCACCACUUAUAUAAAAAUACGUGACGUACCCUCUGUGUUCCGGUCAAAAUGAAAAAUUUCUCCGACGGGAGAGAGAGUUGGGAAAUGUGAGAGGGAGAGAAAUUUUAAUGGGUAUAGAGGGAGAAAGGGAGAGAUGUGAGGGGGAGAGAGAGAGAGAGAGAGAGAGAGAGCCGGCUAAAUGAGAGGAAAAGGAAAAAGUGUUGGGGAGUUAUGAUGUCUAAUGGAAUUGAAUGAGAGGAGUGGAUUUUUAAAAUCUUUUAAAACUAUUGUUUUAAUGGCACUUGCAUGCUUUUGGAUUUCCAUAAGGAAACAUGAGCAGGCUUUCACCCUGCACAAAGACACACUCACACACUCAAAUCUAAUAAAAUAAUAAUUAAAAUCAAUUUGCUUUGGAUCCUCGCCGGAUCCCCUCCCUGGGGAUCCUAGGGAUCAACGGAUGUGGAUCGUUGAUAAAAAAUCGUGAGGCCACAAUUUUUUCUUUUUUUUUAAUAUUUUUCACGAAAAACAAAGUUGCUUUACUUUUAAAAAUAUAAAAAG